UGGAUUUGUGGCGCGGCCGUCCGGCGGGGCUCUCUUCUGGGAGCCGUUUGUCUGGUUUUCGGCCGCGCCAUUCUUCGAGAAAGCAUCGGCUGGCAUUAGGUUGUCGGUUCGAUUGCUCCGAUCGUUUACUGUGAAAAAA
rnacentral:rRNA from 1 species